rnacentral:rRNA from 1 species
GAUGAACGCUGGCGGCGUGCCUAAUACAUGCAAGUCGAGCGAACAGACGAGGAGCUUGCUCCUCUGACGUUAGCGGCGGACGGGUGAGUAACACGUGGAUAACCUACCUAUAAGACUGGGAUAACUUCGGGACACCGGAGCUAAUACCGGAUAAUAUAUUGAACCGCAUGGUUCAAUAGUGAAAGACGGUUUUGCUGUCACUUAUAGAUGGAUCCGCGCCGCAUUAGCUAGUUGGUAAGGUAACGGCUUACCAAGGCAACGAUGCGUAGCCGAGCUGAGAGGGUGAUCGGCCACACUGGAACUGAGACACGGUCCAGACUCCUACGGGAGGCAGCAGUAGGGAAUCUUCCGCAAUGGGCGAAAGCCUGACGGAGCAACGCCGCGUGAGUGAUGAAGGUCUUCGGAUCGUAAAACUCUGUUAUUAGGGAAGAACAAAUGUGUAAGUAACUAUGCACGUCUUGACGGUACCUAAUCAGAAAGCCACGGCUAACUACGUG